rnacentral:lncRNA from 1 species
AACCUCACUGCUUUUUAGCUUAGAUCUUGCUAGCAAAUCUAUCCAACCCAAUCAUAUGGAAGGGAUGAUCCAAAUUCUCAUUUCAGCUAAUAAAUUUUUCAUAUUUUUAUUAUCAAAAUGGAUAAACUAGAUAUUCCUACUUUUAUUACUACCUAGUAAACACAAAUCUAAACAAUAGAAGUGAGAUGGGAAAAAAAACAGAUGUUAAGUAGAAA